AAUGAACGUUGGCGGCGUGGAUUAGGCAUGCAAGUCGUACGGGUCGGUGUAGCAAUACAACGGCAAGUGGCGAAAGGGAGAGUAACACGUAGAUACCUACCCUCUGGUCGGGGAUACCGCGGCAUAACCGCAAGUAAUACCCGAUAAAAUCUCCGGAUCAAAGCUGUGAUUCCGCCGGAGUAGGGGUCUGCGUUCUAUAAGCUUGUUGGUGAGGUAAUGGCUCACCAAGGCUAAGACGGAUACGGGGUGUGAGAGCAUGCCCCCGCUCACUGGGACUGAGACACUGCCCAGACACCUACGGCUGGCUGCAGUCGAGAAUCUUCGGCAAUGGGCGCAAGCCUGACCGAGCGACGCCGCGUGCGGGAUGAAGGCCUUCGGGUUGUAAACCUCUGUCGAGGGGAAUGAAGUGCAAGUGAGUUAUCUCAUUUGUUUGACAGAUCCCUGGAGGAAGCAUGGGCUAAGUUCGUGCCAGCCGCCGCAGUAACAC
rnacentral:rRNA from 1 species